GAGCCAAAUGCAGUGCUUGCUUCCUAUCUGUGGUCCAUUGCAUAGCAGUGUGCUUGGGUGCUGCAUAAGACAAUUACCCCCAACGCCUCCAAAAAAUAGGACAUGGUCCACUGCAGGAGUUCAUAAUCUAGGAGUCCAGAGAGUCCAGGCUCAUCAUCCCUUCAGAGCUGCUUGACAGGGUUGUCUGGGGAAUACAACCUUACCCUGUCAAAUGCCUUUCAAUGUUUUCCUUCUCCUUCCUUACCCCCGUUUCAUCGUGUACCUGCAAUGGGACUCUAUUUCUGUAAAAGCAAGAUAAAGGAAAACAAAAUGUACUCUUUCCCUAAUUGGAUAAAGUGAGAAAGGAUAUUAGAAAACCACCCAAUGGAACUGAUAAAAACGAGUUGGAACUUGUGACCAGCAGCUGGAUGAGAGGAGUGUGAAUCCCCCAAAUCUUAUGGAUAUAGUGUGCUUUCUUUGAUGUUUCUGCCAAAGUGAGGCUGGAAAGCUAGGAAGAUCUGUAAGACGUGUGCCAGCACAAAGUGACUACAAUUCAAAAGUUCCAAAAACCUUGCUUGAAACAAUUGCAAAUAGCUCAUCAUUUUAAACCAGUGAACCCAAGGCUGAGUGUUUCAUCAAUUUACAGAAAACCAAGAAGAGAAAUCUGACAACUAUCCCAGUGUAUGACUUACCAUGGAGAUCUUCAAGCAGAAUCAUUUUGGUUUGGGUCUCAUUUUCAUAUUAUAACACAAAUUUGUGUAUGUGGGUUAAGAUUCAUAUUUGGUAGGAACUGCUGGGAAUUCUUGCAGUUAUAUCCUCAAAAGACAAAAUAAGCACAACCAACAGAAUUGUGAAGCAAUAAAGUUGGUUAUGGAUGAAAA